AGUGAACGCUGGCGGUAGGCCUAACACAUGCAAGUCGAACGGCAGCACAGUAAGAGCUUGCUCUUACGGGUGGCGAGUGGCGGACGGGUGAGGAAUACAUCGGAAUCUACUUUUUCGUGGGGGAUAACGUAGGGAAACUUACGCUAAUACCGCAUACGACCUACGGGUGAAACCAGGGGAUCUUCGGACCUUGCGCGAUUGAAUGAGCCGAUGUCGGAUUAGCUAGUUGGCGGGGUAAAGGCCCACCAAGGCGACGAUCCGUAGCUGGUCUGAGAGGAUGAUCAGCCACUCUGGAACUGGGACACGGUCCAGACUCCUACGGGAGGCAGCGGUAGGGAGUAUUGGACGAUGGACGCAAGCCUGAUCCAGCCAUACCGCGUGUGUGAAGAAGGCGUUCGGGUUGUAAAGCCCUUUUGUUGGGAAAGAAAAGCAGCAGGUUAAUACCCCGCUGUUCUGACGGUACCCGAAGAAUAAGCACCGGCUAACUUCGUG
rnacentral:rRNA from 1 species